AGAUUGAACGCUGGCGGCAUACCUUACACAUGCAAGUCGAACGGCAGCACGGGAGCAAUCCUGGUGGCGAGUGGCGAACGGGUGAGUAAUAUAUCGGAACGUGCCCAGUCGUGGGGGAUAACGCAGCGAAAGCUGUGCUAAUACCGCAUACGACCUAUGGAUGAAAGCGGGGGAUCGCAAGCCUCGCGCGAUUGGAGCGGCCGAUAUCAGAUUAGCUAGUUGGUGGGGUAAAAGCCUACCAAGGCGACGAUCUGUAGCUGGUCUGAGAGGACGACCAGGCCACACUGGAACUGAGACACGGUCCAGACUCCUACGGGAGCAGCAGUGGGGAAUUUUGGACAAGUGGG
rnacentral:rRNA from 1 species